GUAGUAUCUGGGGAGCUGCCUCUAGUGUCCUCAGCCGAGGGUAACAAGAGACCCGCUUUUCUGGAAAAGUUUGUAGUUCUGUGGGCUCGGACUCCCUCUCCACCUCUGCGCCUUCUCCUCAGUGAACCCACUUUGACUGCUAUUUAGUGCCACAGAUAGUGAGAGGACUGACUACCUGUGCCUGAUAAAACGGCUAAUAGAGAGGGGUCUUUUAGGAGAGGAGGAUGUGGGCACCAACUGGCCAAAGUUGUCAGCGUUAUCUUGGCCAGAGGAGUCUGUACAGAAGUUUCAACUGCUCUCUCUGUCCACCCAGUUCCCAUUGCCUUCCCUGCCAAACCACAGGGACAUACUGCAGGUCUCUCAAUGACCACUAGGGGGAUGCACGAGUCUACACUACCAACUGUACACAUGAAUCCCAGCCAAACACUAUUGUAUUAACAGCAGUGAUGCAUAUUUGAAGAAAAGAAAGAAUGUUUAAACCUACAAUAUAUAGGAUUAAAAAAAAUAUUUUAAAGUCUGAUUUAUUGUUAGUUGCAAGGAGAAUAUUUGCUGCUGAAGAAUGCUGAGUUGAUAAGAUUGUUAUUGACAGUUUAUAAACCUUUAAAACACAUUUUGUGGGGACAUUUUAGCAGGGCUUUGCCAGUUUUCACUUAUACUGCCUCACAAUAGAACAGGAUAAAGACCAUUCACUGUGCUAUGUAUUUGUUUUAAGCGUGUGUAAAUGUUUUUCUG